rnacentral:misc_RNA from 1 species
GAUGAAGAACGUAGUGAAAUGCGAUAAGUAAUGUGAAUUGCAGAAUUCAGUGAAUCAUCGAAUCUUUGAACGCACAUUGCGCCCCCCAGUAUUCUGGCGGGCAUGCCUGUUCGAGCGUCAUUUCAACCAUCAAGCCCUGCUUGUGUUGGGGUCCUGCGGCUGCCCGCAGGCCCUGAAAACCAGUGGCGGGCUCGCUAGUCACACCGAGCGCAGUAGCACAUCUCGCUCAGGGCGUGCGGCGGGCUCCAGCCGUUAAGGCACCCACCUUUCGCAAGGUUGACCUCGGAUCAGGUAGGAAUACCCGCUGAACUUAAGCAUAUCAAUAAGCGGAGGA